CAGAGGGGGCAAGCGUUGUUCGGAAUUACUGGGCGUAAAGGGCGCGUAGGCGGCCUGCUAAGUCGAACGUGAAAUCCCUGGGCUCAACCCAGGAACUGCGUCCGAUACUGGUUGGCUUGAAUCCGGGAGAGGGAUGUGGAAUUCCAGGUGUAGCGGUGAAAUGCGUAGAUAUCUGGAGGAACACCGGUGGCGAAGGCGACAUCCUGGACCGGCAUUGACGCUGAGGCGCGAAAGCCAGGGGAGCAAACGGGAUUAGAUACCCCGGUAGUCCUGGCCCUAAACGAUGAAUGCUUGGUGUGGUGGGUAUCGAUCCCUACGUGCCGAAGCUAACGCAUUAAGCAUUCCGCCUGGGGAUACGGUCGCAAGGCUG
rnacentral:rRNA from 1 species